rnacentral:rRNA from 1 species
AUACAGAGGGUGCGAGCGUUAAUCGGAAUUACUGGGCGUAAAGCGCGCGUAGCGGCUUAUUAAGUCAGAUGUGAAAUCCCCGGGCUCAACCUGGGAACUGCAUCUGAUACUGGUAAGCUAGAGUUUUGGAGAGGGAAGUAGAAUUUCAGGUGUAGCGGUGAAAUGCAUAGAGAUCUGAAGGGAUACCAGUGGCGAAGGCGACUUCCUGGCCAAAAACUGACGCUGAGGUGCGAAAGCGUGGGUAGCAAACGGGAUUAGAUACCCUAGUAGCCC